UACGUAGGGUGCAAGCGUUAAUCGGAAUACUGGGCGUAAAGCGUGCGCAGGCGGUUUUGUAAGACCGAUGUGAAAUCCCCGGGCUUAACCUGGGAACUGCAUUGGUGACUGCAAGGCUUGAGUGUGUCAGAGGGAGGUGGAAUUCCGCGUGUAGCAGUGAAAUGCGUAGAUAUGCGGAGGAACACCGAUGGCGAAGGCAGCCUCCUGGGAUAACACUGACGCUCAUGCACGAAAGCGUGGGGAGCAAACAGGAUAGAA
rnacentral:rRNA from 1 species